AAAUGCUGCAAGUUCUCCUCUAGCAGGGAGCAGAGCUUCCAGGCAUUAUGAUCUGUCCUGCCUGUCUGGAUGGAACUUCUGCUCCAUACUAUUGGAUAUUACGGAUCUUUCAAACAGAAUGCCAAACUAUAAAGAUGUGUGGAAUAUGAGCACAAUAUAUACUAUGUGAGUAAAGAAGCUACAGGCUGCGGGUAAUAGGAGAACUACUUCAAAGCAGCUAUGGGAAAGCUAAAAGGGGUUAGAAGUAGGAGAAGGUUAUUAGAACGUCAUUAGGCCAUUUCAUGGAAGCCAAGAGCAGAAAGGCCACGGAUGUAUGGACUGGAGCCAGGAUUGGAGCAUGGGGGAGCCUGCAUGGAUUGGUGACUUUUUCCACAGAGUGUGGGUUCGUGCCUCUUUAGCUGUAGAUCAGUACUCUGUCCAUAGGUCUAUAGGACAGAAAAGGAUGGCCAAGAGCUCCUGAAUUUUACAUGUUCCAGUCCAGGGACUAAAGAGAUUUCUCUUUCCAACCCAGUCUACACAAUUGAUGAGGAAGAAACAGGAGUUUCCCCAGGUCA
rnacentral:lncRNA from 10 species